ACACAUGCAAGUCGAACGGAACUGUUUUGAAAGAUUUCUUCGGAAUGAAUUUGACUUAGUUUAGUGGCGGACGGGUGAGUAACGCGUGAGUAACCUGCCUUCAAGAGGGGGAUAACAUUCUGAAAAGAAUGCUAAUACCGCAUGACAUAUUGGAAUCACAUGAUUUUGAUAUCAAAGAUUUUAUCGCUUGAAGAUGGACUCGCGUCCGAUUAGUUAGUUGGUGAGGUAACGGCUCACCAAGACCGCGAUCGGUAGCCGGACUGAGAGGUUGAACGGCCACAUUGGGACUGAGACACGGCCCAGACUCCUACGGGAGGCAGCAGUGGGGGAUAUUGCGCAAUGGGGGCAACCCUGACGCAGCAACGCCGCGUGAAGGAUGAAGGUUUUCGGAUUGUAAACUUCUUUUAUUAAGGACGAAACUUGACGGUACUUAAUGAAUAAGCUCCGGCUAACUACGUGCCAGCAGCCGCGGUAAUACGUAGGGAGCAAGCGUUGUCCGGAUUUACUGGGUGUAAAGGGUGCGUAGGCGGCUUUGCAAGUCAGAUGUGAAAUCUAUGGGCUCAACCCAUAAACUGCAUUUGAAACUGUAGAGCUUGAGUGAAGUAGAGGCAGGCGGAAUUCCCCGUGUAGCGGUGAAAUGCGUAGAGAUGGGGAGGAACACCAGUGGCGAAGGCGGCCUGCUGGGCUUUAACUGACGCUGAGGCACGAAAGCGUGGGUAGCAAACAGGAUUAGAUACCCUGGUAGUCCACGCUGUAAACGAUGAUUACUAGGUGUGGGGGGUCUGACCCCUUCCGUGCCGGAGUUAACACAAUAAGUAAUCCACCUGGGGAGUACGGCCGCAAGG
rnacentral:rRNA from 1 species